CUGAUAGGAGACCCUGGGCUGCCUCAGGACCCACGGGGAUGAUUCAGAAUAUUGUGGGCCCACAUCCACGCUGACAGGAGCCCCUGGGCCACCUCAGGAUCCGCGGGGAGGCAUCAGGAAGAUGUGGCACCGCGUCCACUCUGGUAGGAACUCCCAGGCCCGUCAGGAUAUAAGUUGAGGCUUCUGGAAGCUGGGGGCCGCAUUCAGGGUGACAGGAGCCGCGCCCUCCUCAGAACCCUCGGUGACAAUUUGGGUGUACGUGUGGUCACGUCCACACAACAGGACGCUGACUUCCUCAGGACCCCUGGUGUAGUCUUCGGGAAAUAUGGGGAUGCGUCCAUGCGGACAGAAGACCCCAGCCUUGUCAGGGCCUCUGGUGAGGCUUAAGAAAGAUGUGGGUGCCUCAUGCACACUGACAGGAAUCGCCAGCCUCCUCAGGACACACUGUGAAGGUUUGGGAAGAUUUGGGGCCAGGUCCAUGCUGACAGGAGACCCCAGCCUCCUCAGGUCUUAUGGUGAGGCUUGAGGAAAAUGUGGGGCCAUGUCAACACUGACAGGACACCCGUCCUCCUCAGGAUCUGCACUUCGGCUUUGGUAUAUAUGGGGCUGCGUCUAUGCUGACAGGAGCCCACAGCUUCCUCAGGACCCGCGGUGAGUUUUCUGGGGGGCAUGGGGUCAUGUCCAGGCUGACAGGAGCCCCCGGCCUCCUGAGGACCUGCUGUGAGGCUUCCAGAGGAUGUGAAGCAUACUCCACAGUGACAGGAGACCCGGCGUCCUCAGGACCCGCUGACUAUGACUCAGGAACACGUGGGGCCAUGUCCGCACUCACAGAGCCCGGCUUCCUCAGGACCCCCUGGAGGACUCUGGAGGUGCCGUUUGGGGCCACGUCCAUAUUAGAAGAGACUCCUCAGAACCACAGGGACCAGAAGUGAGGUUCAGGAAGAUGUGGGCCCGCAUCCACACUGCCAGGAGCCCUGGGCCGCCUCAGGUCCCGCGGGGAGGCUUCAGGAAAUUGUGGGCCCGCAUCUACGCUGACAGGAGCCCCUGAGCUGCCUCAGGACCUGUGGGGACAUUUCAGGAAGAUGUGGCACCGCUUCCACUCUGGCAGGAGCUCCUGGCCCCCUCAGGAUAUAAGUUGAGGCUUCUGGAAGCUGGGUGCUGCAUUCACGGUGACAGGACCCCCAUCCUCCUCAGGACCUGCACUUUGGCUUUGGGACGUAUGGGAAUGUGUCUAUGCUGACAGGAGCCCACAGCCUCCUCAGGACUCGCGGUGAGUUUUCUGGGGGACGUGGGGCCAUGCCCAAGCUGACAGGAGCCCCCGGCCUCCUGAGGACCUGCUGUGAGGGUUCCAGAGGAUGUGAGGCAUAGUCCACAGUGAUAGGAGACCCGGUGUCCUCAGGACCUGCUGACUAUGACUCAGGAACAUGUGGGGCCACGUCCGCAUUCACUGAGCCUGGAUUACUCAGGACCCCGUGGAGGACUCUGGAGGUGCCAUUGGGGGCCACGUCCACAUCAGAAGGGACUACUCACAACCAUAGGGUAAGUGAAUGUGUAGAAUAAAUGGUAGGGUCAGGGGAGCA
rnacentral:lncRNA from 12 species